rnacentral:rRNA from 1 species
CAGUAGCCACGGUAAUACGAACCGUGCGAACGUUAUUCGGAAUUACUGGGCUUAAAGCGCGUGUAGGCGGUUAGAUAAGUCUGAAGUUAAAGGCUGUGGCUUAACCAUAGUACGCUUUGGAAACUGUUUAACUUGAGUGCAAGAGGGGAGAGUGGAAUUCCAUGUGUAGCGGUGAAAUGCGUUGAGAUCGGAAAGAACACCAACGGCGAAAGCACUCUGCUGGGCCGACACUGACACUGAGAGACGAAAGCUAGGGGAGCAAAUGGGAUUAGAUACCCCUGUAGUCCCUGUCUCUUAUACA